CAGCUACAAACUAAAAAAAACCCUCUUUCAUUUUCAGAAACGUCCCUUUAACCAAAUCCUUAAUAGACCUAGCAGACAAGGGAUGAAAAUGAGCAGCAUACAAAUUCCUCAAAAAUUCCUUUAAUUGGAUAAAGUAAAAGAAAUUUUGUAGGAUCAGUGUAUUUGAAGAAGGAUAUAACACUCUUUAUUGAAAUCGAGAUAACUCCUGCGGACCUUCAGAGAAGACACAAUUGCCUCUGGUUGCUUUUCCUCUCAAGGUUACAGUAAACACUCUUGCUCAGAGAAAUCCUUAUCGGCGGAUCACUUCUGAAAGGUUAUAUAUCAAUACUUUUCAAUGGAUAAAUCUUGGAUUGGAAUGCCUAGAAAUACAACAAAGUAUUUACUUGGUUUGAAUCAAUUUCUAAAUUUUGCAUUUAAGAAUGCUUGUAUAGGAGAUAGAAUAAAAUGUCCAUGUCCUAAAUGUGGUUUUGGGAAGUGACACCGUGAUGGGUAAAUCAUCUAUCUAGAAUCUUAUUUAUGUGUAUGCACAUUGGCCUUUGUUAAAACAAAUGUUCGUCCUUAAAACCUAGCCAAAGUUGAUGAAGCAGUGGUGUAACUGGUGUUGUUAUCUUGUUUCAGACAGCAAAUUCUG